rnacentral:rRNA from 1 species
CCUACGGGUGGCAGCAGUGAGGAAUAUUGGUCAAUGGGCGUAAGCCUGAACCAGCCAAGUCGCGUGAGGGAUGAAGGUUCUAUGGAUCGUAAACCUCUUUUAUAAGGGAAUAAAGUGAGGCACGUGUCCCUUUUUGUAUGUACCUUAUGCAUAAGGAUCGGCUAACUCCGUGCCAGUAGCCGCGGUAAUACGGAGGAUCCGAGCGUUAUCCGGAUUUAUUGGGUUUAACGGGUGCGUAGACGGGCUGUUAAGUCAGUGGUGAAAGUCUGCGGCUCAACCAUAGAAUUGCGGUGGAUACUGGGAGGCUUGAGUAUAUUUGAGGCAGGCGGAAUUCGUGGUGUAGCGGUGAAAUGCUUAGAUAUCACGAAGAACUCCGAUUGCGAAGGCAGCCUGCCAAGCCAUGACUGACAUUGAUGCACGAAAGCGUGGGGAUCAAACAGGAUUAGAUACCCGUGUAGUC